rnacentral:tRNA from 1 species
AGCCAAUUAGUUUGAGAAAAAUAUUUGAUUUCGGCUCAAAAGCUUAUGGUUAAAGUCCAUAAUUGUCUA